rnacentral:rRNA from 1 species
AGUGAACGCUGGCGGUAGGCCUAACACAUGCAAGUCGAACGGCCGCACAGUAAGAGCUUGCUCUUACGGGUGGCGAGUGGCGGACGGGUGCGGUAUACAUCGGAAUAUACUUUUUAGCGGGGGAUAACGCCGGGAAACUCACGCUAAUACCGCAUACGACCUACGGGUGAAAGCAGGGGAUCUUCGGACCUUGCGCGAGAGAAUGAGCCGAUUUUGGAUUAGCUAGAUGGCGGGGUAAAGGCCCACCAAGGCGACGAUCCUUAGGUGGUCAGAGGGGAUGGUCCGCCACCCUGUAUCUGAGGCUCGGUCCAGACUCCUACGGGAGGCAGCAGUGGGGACUAUUGCACGAUGCGGCCGUGCCUGAUCCAGCCCUAUCGCCUGGGUGAAGAAGGCCUUCUGGUUGUUGAGCGCUUUUGUUGUGAGAAUAAAGCAGCACUUUCAUCCCCCGCUGUUCUGACGGUACCCAAAGAAUAAGCACCGGCUAACUUCGUG